CCUGUGAGGCAGAGAGGCCUCCGUUGGACACCAGAGAGCGGCCACUGGGUGACAGAAUGAUGCCGGCAAAACCCCUUGAUCCGCCUUUUCAUGGGGGCAGAAGGGAAGCAGCGGCUGUGGAACCAGAUCAGGGUCCAGUGUGCUUUGAAGAUGUCGCUGUUCGUUUCACGGACGAGGAG